rnacentral:lncRNA from 1 species
UGGUGCUCUACAAGAAAAAUCUGCUUUAUAGAUGAGGAAAGACCCUUGGGGCAGACAAGACAGUCCCUGUUUGACAUAAUUCCUUUAUCUCUUCUCCCCCAGCUCUGCUGCCCCCUGCCCCAUACACGUGAUGGAGCAGAAAACGUGCUGUGUGAACCUGUGACUUCAGGGCCUGUUGACGUGGUCGUGCUUGCAUACUCUCUGGACUGGACCUCACUGUGGGAACAACAAGAUCAACAAGAGGAGCAAGAACAACAUCAAGAGUCAGGGCCCGGGGGUCCUGACGGGUACAGGACGGGUACAGACCCACACAGGAAUCCCAGAGUGUGUUCCACAGCAGGACACGCCUGCGCUGAAAGAGUGGGCAGAAAGGAGCUGACCUGGGAUUAUGAUCCAAACUCAGCUGGGCCUCCCCUCCCUGCCCCAGGAUUGUGGAGUGAGAACGUUGCAGCAGGAGAGAAC